GUGUUUUCUCAAGGUCAUGCAUAGAUCUUGAUGAAGAACUUGACUUCAGGGUGAGAGAGAACUUGGUAUAAAUCCUGAUAAUAUCAUUUAACAGAAUUCAGUCAAUGGAUUCUGCUAUAUGCUCAUAUCUACUCAUGUCUACACAAAACUCUGAAAACAAACUUGAUUCCGAAGUUGGAACUUGAAACAGAAAUUCCACUUUACUAUGCACAUGACAAUGCAAGGGUAACUUAAUUGCAUGUAAAGAUGCCACCUCAACCUUUUUGUGCUGCCCUAUGGAAAGUGGAG